UUAACACAUGCAAGUCGAACGAACCUUCGGGUUAGUGGCGGACGGGUGAGUAACGCGUGAGAAUCUGCCCUCAGGAGGGGGAUAACGGCUGGAAACGGCCGCUAAUACCCCAUAUGCCGAGAGGUGAAAUGAAUUUCCCCUGAGGAUGAACUCGCGUCUGAUUAGCUAGUUGGUGGGGUAAAGGCCUACCAAGGCUUCCAUCAAUAACUGGUCUGAAAGGAUGAUCAACCACACUGGGACUGAAACACGGCCCAGACUCCUACCGGAGGCAGCAGUGGGGAAUUUUCCGCAAUGGGCGAAAGCCUGACGGAACAACGCCCCGUGAGGGAUGAAGGCCUCUGGGCUGUAAACCUCUUUUAUCAAGGAAGAAAAUCUGACGGUACUUGAUGAAUAAACCACGGCUAAUUCCNUGCCANCAGCCCCNGGG
rnacentral:rRNA from 1 species